GGAGUUUUUGCUCUUCAGAAUCCAGUCAGAUUGAAGGAAGACGCCAGACCCGGAUCUUUGUACAUCCAUUUGCACAGUACUGUACAACAAGUUUCCUUUGCUGAGUUCCUUGGUCAGGGGUUUAAAUACAUUUGCUGUCCAGUACUGCAGUUGGAAUUUUCCAUCAAUUUUUUAUGGGCAACCAAAAAGAA